CAAGUCGAACGGUAACAGGCAGAAGCUUGCUUCUGCGCUGACGAGUGGCGGACGGGUGAGUAAUACGUAGGAAUCUGCCCUAAAGUGGGGGAUAACCCGAGGAAACUCGGGCUAAUACCGCAUAAUCUCUACGGAGCAAAGCUGGGGACCUUAGGGCCUGGCGCUUUAGGAUGAGCCUACGUCAGAUUAGCUUGUUGGUAGGGUAAUGGCCUACCAAGGCGACGAUCUGUAGCUGGUCUGAGAGGACGAUCAGCCACACUGGGACUGAGAUACGGCCCAGACUCCUACGGGAGGCAGCAGUGGAGAAUAUUGGACAAUGGGCGAAAGCCUGAUCCAGCAAUGCCGCGUGUGUGAAGAAGGCCUUCGGGUUGUAAAGCACUUUCAGUAAGGAAGAAAUGCUCACGGUUAAUACCCGUGGGUCUUGACGUAACUUACAGAAGAAGCACCGGCUAACUCUGUGCCAGCAGCCGCGGUAAUACAGAGGGUGCGAGCGUUAAUCGGAAUUACUGGGCGUAAAGCGCGCGUAGGCGGAUACUUAAGUCGGAUGUGAAAUCCCUGGGCUCAACCUAGGAAUUGCACUCGAUACUGGGUAUCUAGAGUAUGGUAGAGGAA
rnacentral:rRNA from 1 species